ACGGGUGAGUAACGCGUAGACAACCUGCCUCUAAACUGGGGACAACACCGCGAAAGUGGUGCUAAUACCGAAUGUGGUAACUUGAUCGCAUGAUCGAGUUAAGAAAGAUGGCCUCUGAAUAUGCUAUCGAUUAGAGAUGGGUCUGCGUCUGAUUAGCUAGUUGGUGAGGUAAUGGCUCACCAAGGCGACGAUCAGUAGCCGGUCUGAGAGGAUGAACGGCCACACUGGGACUGGGACACGGCCCAGACUCCUACGGGAGGCAGCAGUGGGGAAUCUUCCGCAAUGGACGAAAGUCUGACGGAGCAACGCCGCGUGAGUGAAGAAGGUCUUCGGAUUGUAAAGCUCUGUCGUUUGGGACGAACGUGAGCUGUGUGAACAAUGCAGCUUAAUGACGGUACCAAAGGAGGAAGCCACGGCUAACUACGUGCCAGCAGCCGCGGUAAUACGUAGGUGGCAAGCGUUGUCCGGAAUUAUUGGGCGUAAAGGGCGUGUAGGUGGAUCUUUAAGUCGUGUGUCUAAGUGCGGAGCUCAACUCCGUAUGGGCGCAGGAAACUGGGGAUCUUGAGUGCAGGAGAGGAAAGUGGAAUUCCC
rnacentral:rRNA from 1 species